rnacentral:rRNA from 1 species
CCUACGGGUGGCAGCAGUGAGGAAUAUUGGUCAAUGGGCGCGAGCCUGAACCAGCCAAGUAGCGUGAAGGAUGACUGCCCUACGGGUUGUAAACUUCUUUUAUAAAGGAAUAAUGUGAGGCACGUGUGCCUUUAUGUCUGUACUUUAUGAAUAAGGAUCGGCUAACUCCGUGCCAGCAGCCGCGGUAAUACGGAGGAUCCGAGCGUUAUCCGGAUUUAUUGGGUUUAAAGGGAGCGUAGAUGGGUUGUUAAGUCAGUUGUGAAAGUUUGCGGCUCAACCGUAAAAUUGCAAUUGAUACUGGAAGUCUAGAGUACAGAUGAGGUAGGCGGAAUUCGUGGUGUAGCGGUGAAAUGCUUAGAUAUAACGAAGAACUCCGAUUGCGAAGGCAGCUUACUAAACUGCCACUGACAUUGAUGCUCGAGAGUAUGGGUAGCAAACAGGAUUAGAUACCCUAGUAGUC